GACGAACGCUGGCGGCGUGCUUAACACAUGCAAGUCGAACGGGAAGAGAUGAAGAGCUUGCUCUUUAUCAAAUCCAGUGGCAAACGGGUGAGUAACACGUAAACAACCUGCCUUCAGGAUGGGGACAACAGACGGAAACGACUGCUAAUACCGAAUACGUUCCACGGGCCGCAUGACCUGUGGAAGAAAGGGUAGCCUCUACCUGUAAGCUAUCGCCUGAAGAGGGGUUUGCGUCUGAUUAGGCAGUUGGUGGGGUAACGGCCCACCAAACCAACGAUCAGUAGCCGGUCUGAGAGGAUGAACGGCCACACUGGAACUGAGACACGGUCCAGACUCCUACGGGAGGCAGCAGUGGGGAAUCUUCCGCAAUGGACGAAAGUCUGACGGAGCAACGCCGCGUGAGUGAAGACGGCCUUCGGGUUGUAAAGCUCUGUGAUCCGGGACGAAAGAGCCUGAGGUAAAUAGCCUAAGGAAGUGACGGUACCGGAAAAGCAAGCCACGGCUAACUACGUGCCAGCCGCCGCGGU
rnacentral:rRNA from 1 species